rnacentral:tmRNA from 2 species
CCCCUUGCCGGGCGCACAGCAACACCCUAUAUGCAUCGGUGCCGGAGGGCUUGCCCUUGGCUAUGGCGAUAAACGGUAAGUGGAAUAAUCGUUACGGACCCGGGGGCAGUGCCCGGCGUCUCCACCAUUCCUUCCCGAGGGCUCUGCCCAACGGAAAGUAAGGGGACGAAACAGGCUCGACGUGCGUGGUAAAGACUUAUCUUUUGCCCGGCAUUGUACCGCCGUUAUCGGGCUAAAUCACAAGUGCCAAUGAUAACACAAAGGUGCUCGCUGUCGCUGCAUAAGCGAUAAGCGCGGUUCGGGAGGGCACCGGGCAACAGAAGCCCUCCCACU